rnacentral:rRNA from 1 species
GGGUUGUGAGGUUAAGCGACUAAGCGUACACGGUGGAUGCCCUGGCAGUCAGAGGCGAUGAAGGACGUGCUAAUCUGCGAUAAGCGCCGGUAAGGUGAUAUGAACCGUUAUAACCGGCGAUUUCCGAAUGGGGAAACCCAGUGUGAUUCGUCACACUAUCAUUAACUGAAUCCAUAGGUUAAUGAGGCGAACCGGGGGAACUGAAACAUCUAAGUACCCCGAGGAAAAGAAAUCAACCGAGAUUCCCCCAGUAGCGGCGAGCGAACGGGGAGGAGCCCAGAGCCUGAAUCAGCAUGUGUGUUAGUGGAAGCGUCUGGAAAGGCGCGCGAUACAGGGUGACAGCCCCGUACACAAAAGCGCAUGUGCUGUGAGCUCGAUGAGUAGGGCGGGACACGUGGUAUCCUGUCUGAAUAUGGGGGGACCAUCCUCCAAGGCUAAAUACUCCUGACUGACCGAUAGUGAACCAGUACCGUGAGGGAAAGGCGAAAAGAACCCCGGCGAGGGGAGUGAAAAAGAACCUGAAACCGUGUACGUACAAGCAGUGGGAGCACCCUUCGGGGUGUGACUGCGUACCUUUUGUAUAAUGGGUCAGCGACUUAUAUUCUGUAGCAAGGUUAACCGUAUAGGGGAGCCGGAGGGAAACCGAGUCUUAACCGGGCGUUAAGUUGCAGGGUAUAGACCCGAAACCCGGUGAUCUAGCCAUGGGCAGGUUGAAGGUUGGGUAACACUAACUGGAGGACCGAACCGACUAAUGUUGAAAAAUUAGCGGAUGACCUGUGGCUGGGGGUGAAAGGCCAAUCAAACCGGGAGAUAGCUGGUUCUCCCCGAAAGCUAUUUAGGUAGCGCCUCGUGAAUUCAUCUCCGGGGGUAGAGCACUGUUUCGGCUAGGGGGCCAUCCCGGCUUACCAACCCGAUGCAAACUGCGAAUACCGGAGAAUGUUAUCACGGGAGACACACGGCGGGUGCUAACGUCCGUCGUGAAGAGGGAAACAACCCAGACCGCCAGCUAAGGUCCCAAAGUCAUGGUUAAGUGGGAAACGAUGUGGGAAGGCCCAGACAGCCAGGAUGUUGGCUUAGAAGCAGCCAUCAUUUAAAGAAAGCGUAAUAGCUCACUGGUCGAGUCGGCCUGCGCGGAAGAUGUAACGGGGCUAAACCAUGCACCGAAGCUGCGGCAGCGAACGUAUCACCCAAGACAACUUUACGGAGUUGACGAUUGACGGAGCGAAGCGACGUCAAAGCGUUCAUUAAAGUCGAGUUGGCUUAGGGAUACGUUCGUUGGGUAGGGGAGCGUUCUGUAAGCCUGUGAAGGUGUGUCGUGAGGCAUGCUGGAGGUAUCAGAAGUGCGAAUGCUGACAUAAGUAACGAUAAAGCGGGUGAAAAGCCCGCUCGCCGGAAGACCAAGGGUUCCUGUCCAACGUUAAUCGGGGCAGGGUGAGUCGACCCCUAAGGCGAGGCCGAAAGGCGUAGUCGAUGGGAAACGGGUUAAUAUUCCCGUACUUGGUGUUACUGCGAAGGGGGGACGGAGAAGGCUAUGUUGGCCGGGCGACGGUUGUCCCGGUUUAAGCGUGUAGGUGUGUGUUCCAGGUAAAUCCGGUUCACUUUAACACUGAGGCGUGACGACGAGGCACUACGGUGCUGAAGCAACAAAUGCCCUGCUUCCAGGAAAAGCCUCUAAGCAUCAGGUAACACGAAAUCGUACCCCAAACCGACACAGGUGGUCAGGUAGAGAAUACCAAGGCGCUUGAGAGAACUCGGGUGAAGGAACUAGGCAAAAUGGUGCCGUAACUUCGGGAGAAGGCACGCUGACACGUAGGUGAAGUGAUUUACUCAUGGAGCUGAAGUCAGUCGAAGAUACCAGCUGGCUGCAACUGUUUAUUAAAAACACAGCACUGUGCAAACACGAAAGUGGACGUAUACGGUGUGACGCCUGCCCGGUGCCGGAAGGUUAAUUGAUGGGGUCAGCGUAAGCGAAGCUCCUGAUCGAAGCCCCGGUAAACGGCGGCCGUAACUAUAACGGUCCUAAGGUAGCGAAAUUCCUUGUCGGGUAAGUUCCGACCUGCACGAAUGGCGUAAUGAUGGCCAGGCUGUCUCCACCCGAGACUCAGUGAAAUUGAACUCGCUGUGAAGAUGCAGUGUACCCGCGGCAAGACGGAAAGACCCCGUGAACCUUUACUAUAGCUUGACACUGAACAUUGAGCCUUGAUGUGUAGGAUAGGUGGGAGGCUUUGAAGUGUGGACGCCAGUCUGCAUGGAGCCGACCUUGAAAUACCACCCUUUAAUGUUUGAUGUUCUAACGUGGACCCGUAAUCCGGGUUGCGGACAGUGUCUGGUGGGUAGUUUGACUGGGGCGGUCUCCUCCUAAAGAGUAACGGAGGAGCACGAAGGUUGGCUAAUCCUGGUCGGACAUCAGGAGGUUAGUGCAAUGGCAUAAGCCAGCUUGACUGCGAGCGUGACGGCGCGAGCAGGUGCGAAAGCAGGUCAUAGUGAUCCGGUGGUUCUGAAUGGAAGGGCCAUCGCUCAACGGAUAAAAGGUACUCCGGGGAUAACAGGCUGAUACCGCCCAAGAGUUCAUAUCGACGGCGGUGUUUGGCACCUCGAUGUCGGCUCAUCACAUCCUGGGGCUGAAGUAGGUCCCAAGGGUAUGGCUGUUCGCCAUUUAAAGUGGUACGCGAGCUGGGUUUAGAACGUCGUGAGACAGUUCGGUCCCUAUCUGCCGUGGGCGCUGGAGAACUGAGGGGGGCUGCUCCUAGUACGAGAGGACCGGAGUGGACGCAUCACUGGUGUUCGGGUUGUCAUGCCAAUGGCACUGCCCGGUAGCUAAAUGCGGAAGAGAUAAGUGCUGAAAGCAUCUAAGCACGAAACUUGCCCCGAGAUGAGUUCUCCCUGAGACUUAGAGUCUCCUGAAGGAACGUUGAAAACGACGACGUUGAUAGGCCGGGUGUGUAAGCGCAGCGAUGCGUUGAGCUAACCGGUACUAAUGAACCGUGAGGCUUAACCUUACAACGCCGAAG